rnacentral:rRNA from 1 species
ACGUAGGGAGCGAGCGUUGUCCGGAAUUACUGGGCGUAAAGGGUGCGUAGGCGGUCAGGCAAGUCAGAUGUGAAAUCCCCGGGCUUUACUCGGGUGGUGCAUUUGAAACUGCUUGACUUGAGUGCAGGAGAGGAAAGCGGAAUUCCUAGUGUAGCGGUGAAAUGCGUAGAUAUUAGGAGGAACACCAGUGGCGAAGGCGGCUUUCUGGACUGUAACUGACGCUGAGGCACGAAAGCGUGGGGAGCAAACAG